rnacentral:rRNA from 1 species
UACGUAGGCAGCGAGCGUUAUCCGGAGUUACUGGGCGUAAAGGGCGUGUAGGUGGUAAUGUAAGUCUGGCGUGAAAUUUUUUCGGCUUAACCGGGAAAGGUCGUCGGAUACUGCAUCACUAGAGGACGGUAGAGGCGUGUGGAAUUCCGGGUGUAGUGGUGAAAUGCGUAGAGAUCGGCAGGAACACCCAAGGGGAAGCCAGCUGGCUGGGCAUUUGCUGACGCUCAUGUGCGACAGCGUGGGGAGCGAACUGG